GUCUUACCUGCCCACUGAAUAUUUAAGGGCCGCGGUAUUUUGACCGUGCAAAGGUAGCAUAAUCAUUAGUCUUUUAAUUAAGGACUGGGAUGAAAGGUGGGACGAGGUACAAACUGUCUCCAUAGAAAGAGAGAAUUUAACUUUUUAGUUAAAAGGCUAAAAUAAGAUUAGAGGACGAGAAGACCCUAUAGAACUUUAUAAGCCAAAGUCAAGCUUUUAGGAUAUUAUUUCGUUUGAACUUAAAGCUUAUUACGUUGGGGUGAUGGGGUAAUAAAUUAACUUACUUUAAAUAGAACAUUAUAAAUGAGUGAGGGAUCCAUAAAUAAUGAAUAAAAAAUUAAGUUACCUUAGGGAUAACAGCGUAAUCCUUUUUGAGAGUUCAUAUCGAUAAGAGGGGUUGCGACCUCGAUGUUGGAUUAAAGGUAAUUUUAGGUGCAGCCGCUUAAAAUCAGGGUCUGUUCGAC
rnacentral:rRNA from 1 species